rnacentral:misc_RNA from 1 species
AAGUCGUAACAAGGUUUUUCUCUAGAGAAACGAAGAUCCCUUCGUAGCGAGCCUUGGAAGCCUUUGCGUCCUAGAGAUAGGGUUCUCAGCGACUAUAAACAAGAGAAGAGCAAGUAGCCUGUGGGCUGCUAUACAAUCGAACUGCGGGGACAUCCUAAAGCCUGAGAGUACUAACCUACCGUUCGAAAGACGGUGGGGGCCUACGUUAAUUCCGUAGGGGUACAGUAAGAACCUCUCAGGAUCCUAAUGGACAAUCCGCAGCGGUUUUCUACCGUCGAAAGACCAUGAAAAUCGUUCACAGACUAGGUGAUUGUGGGUAGAGUGUCUCUACCUAAGAUAUAGUCGGGCCGUCCGCGAAAGCAGACGGGUAUUCGCAAGAAUGUACCGCUCCGUAGGUGAACCUGCGGAGGGAUCAUUACAGAGUUCAUGCCCGCAAGGGUAGAUCUCCACCCUAUGUUAUUAUUACUAUUGUUGCUUUGGCGGACCGCCGCAAGGCUAUCGGUUUCGGCUGGUACGCGUUCGCCAGAGGAUCUUAAACCCCUGAUUAUUAGUGUCGUCUGAGUACUUAUAUAAUAGUUAAA